rnacentral:rRNA from 1 species
UACGGGGGGGGCAAGCGUUGUUCGGAAUUACUGGGCGUAAAGGGCGCGUAGCGGCCGCCUAAGUCAGACGUGAAAUCCCCCGGCUCAACCGGGGACCUGCACCUCAUACUGCACGGCUUGAGUACAUCAGAGGAGACUGGGAAUUCCCGGAUGUAGCGGUGAAAUGCGUAGAUAUCGGGAGGAACACCAGUGGCGAAGGCGAGUCUCUGGGAUGAUACUGACGCU